rnacentral:rRNA from 1 species
UACAGGGGGUGCAAACGUUGCUCGGAAUCAUUGGGCGUAAAGCGCACGUAGGCGGUCUGUUAUGUCGGAUGUGAAAGCCCUUGGCUCAACUGAGGAAGUGCAUCCGAAACUGGCAGGCUAGAGUACUAAAGAGGAUCGCGGAAUUCCCGGUGUAGAGGUGAAAUUCGUAGAUAUCGGGAGGAACACCGGUGGCGAAGGCGGCGAUCUGGGUAGAUACUGACGCUGAGGUGCGAAAGCGUGGGGGAGCAAACAGGG